rnacentral:snRNA from 1 species
GGCUCUUCACAGAUAUUCGAUAAAAUUGGAGUGAUAUAGAGAAAAUUAGCAUGGCAUUUGUUCAAAGAUGACGCACAUAAAAUAAAAUAAAAAAUUGUUU